rnacentral:rRNA from 1 species
AUACAGAGGGUGCAAGCGUUAAUCGGAAUUACUGGGCGUAAAGCGCGCGUAGGCGGUUUGAUAAGUCGGAUGUGAAAUCCCUGGGCUCAACCUGGGAACUGCAUUCGAAACUGUCUGACUAGAGUAUGGUAGAGGGUGGUGGAAUUCCUAGUGUAGCGGUGAAAUGCGUAGAUAUUAGGAGGAACAUCAGUGGCGAAGGCGACCACCUGGACCAAUACUGACGCUGAGGUGCGAAAGCGUGGGGAGCAAACAGGAUUAGAAACCCCAGUAGUCC